AUGUUACUCCCUCCGUUCGGAAUUACUUGUCGCAGAAAUGGAUGUAUCUAGAUGUAUUUUAGUUUUAGAUACAUCCAUAUCCGAGACAAGAAAUUCCGAACGGAGGGAGUACUAU
rfam:Triticum aestivum genome assembly, contig: Triticum_aestivum_CS42_TGACv1_scaffold_001565_1AL